GUGCUAUUGGAAUGGCCGAUAUCUGAUUAGCUAGUUGGUAGGGUAAAAGCCUACCAAGGCGACGAUCAGUAGCUGGUCUGAGAGGAAGACCAGCCACACUGGAAGGGAGACACGGUCCAGACUCCUACGGGAGGCAGCAGUGGGGAAUUUUGGACAAUGGGGGCAACCCUGAUCCAGAAAGGCCGCGUGAGUGAAGAAGGCCCUCGGGUUGUAAAUUAAAGGGGUCAGGGAAGAAACGGUGAUCUCUAAUAUAGA
rnacentral:rRNA from 1 species